rnacentral:rRNA from 1 species
UACGAGGGGGGCGAGCGUUGUUCGGAAUUAUUGGGCGUAAAGGGUGCGUAGGCGGCCUGACAAAGUCUGAUGUGAAAUCCCUGGGCUCAACCCAGGCCUGCAUCGGAAACUGUCGGGCUUGAGUAUGGGGAGAGGUGAGUGGAAUUUCCGGUGUAGCGGUGAAAUGCGUAGAUAUCGGAAGGAACACCUGUGGCGAAAGCGGCUCACUGGACCAUUACUGACGCUGAGGCACGAAAGCUAGGGGAGCGAAACAGG